AAGAAGAUGGCUGAGAGGUUUAAAGCGACAGUUUGCUAAAUUGUUAUGUUAUAAUUAAUAAUAUCAUGGGUUCGAAUCCCCUUCUUCUUA
rnacentral:tRNA from 1 species